rnacentral:tRNA from 1 species
UAGAAAGUAGUAUAGUGGAAGUACCGGGGGUUUUGAGUUCCCUGGUGCAGGUUCAGAUCCUGUUUUUCUA